rnacentral:rRNA from 1 species
GAUGAACGCUGGCGGCGUGCCUAAUACAUGCAAGUCGAGCGAACAGACGAGGAGCUUGCUCCUUUGACGUUAGCGGCGGACGGGUGAGUAACACGUGGGUAACCUACCUAUAAGACUGGGAUAACUUCGGGAAACCGGAGCUAAUCCCGGAUAAUAUUUCGAACCGCAUGGUUCGAUAGGGAAAGAUGGCUUUGCUAUCCCUUAUAGAUGGACCUGCGCCGUAUUAGCUAGUUGGUAAGGUAACGGCUUACCAAGGCAACGAUACGUAGCCGACCUGAGAGGGUGAUCGGCCACACUGGAACUGAGACACGGUCCAGACUCCUACGGGAGGCAGCAGUAGGGAAUCUUCCGCAAUGGGCGAAAGCCUGACGGAGCAACGCCGCGUGAGUGAUGAAGGUCUUCGGAUCGUAAAACUCUGUUAUUAGGGAAGAACAAACGUGUAAGUAACUGUGCACGUCUUGACGGUACCUAAUCAGAAAGCCACGGCUAACUACGUG